AUGAACCACUUAUUGGUGCAAGUUGUGAACACUUCAAUAAAGAUUUUGAAAAAUCCAGAAAUGCUACAUUUCAUAGCUGUGGCCUGUGGUGAGACAUGUGUCUGGUAUUCAUAACUGUUUUACACUACAAAACAGUCAUUAUGUAUAACACAAAAGCAUGAGGUUAACAAAAUUAUUCUUUUAGUGCAGGUCCCCUGGAUAUGCUUUACUUCCCCAAGCACAGAGGCCACUGGCAGACACUAUUAACACGGACUCUAGUGGAGAACAAUCUUCGACUAGUCAAUCGCAACAGCAUCCGAUUGCAAUCCCUGGUGGGCCUGCCAACUUGCCCUUUCCACACUCUGGUUUUGUCGAUUUUCUUGCUCCUGGUACAGAGAUUUGGCAGCAAUCUAAAUACACCAGACUCUCAAUUAGAGGCCCAGGAAAAAAUUCUUCAGAACCAGAUUAAGCCCAACUGUACCAGAUCUGCCUUGCAAAACAUUACUGUGUUAUCUGCUUAAAGAUGGACUCCAUCAUCGAUGAGCCCUGCCCUGCACCACACUCUCCUGAAAGCCCACUGUAACAAGAAAGGAUAUAAUGGUAACAAGAAAGGACAUGAUGGAUUCUUGUCUCAGCUGUCAAUUCACCUAUAGCGUACCGUCAAAAUAUAAAUCCAAAUCCACUAUCUCCACCUGUAGCCAAAGGCCAUACUUUGCAUCAAGCACAACAAGAAUUCCCAAUUCACACGAUCAUGUCUUUUCAAUAUCCAACUUACAGUGCCCUGUUUCGCCACUUCUCAAUUUAGAGUCAACACAUUUAUUGACCACAGUAACUGUAUUCAAGAUUUGUCUACCUCAACAAAAGUAUUCUGAGAAUCUGAAACCACCACAUUCAACACCUGUUUUCAAUCUAGAAAUCGACACCUUUGCCCACGACUUAUAUGCAUGCAACGACAGCAACACCAAGCAAACUAAUAGGCUGAAAAUCAUUGAUGUCUUCCACACAUCUUUUCUUUGGAAUUAGAACUACAAAUGACAAGGGGCUAGAGGCUGUGAAUAUAGGAAAAGACAAAGGGGUGGCGGAACAGCAUUACCGUGUCUGCAAGUCAUUUUGAGGUAGUUUAGAGCUCUGGAAAUGUUGUACUUGAGUAACCUGCUCAUUUAAAAUUUUCAAGGUCUAUAGCAAACAAUGCCUCUUGUAAAGGACAUUCUAUGUAAGUGUGCAUGUUUAGUAUAGACUCACACACCCCUUCUGUGCUUUCAUCUUUUAUUUUCUUCCCUGUUUUCCUUUUUAUAGUUGGCCAUGACUCUGUAAUAUGCCAUUUUCCUUCAAGCUAUUUUUUGUGUCAAGAAUAUGCGGUAUAUUUGGAAUAUUAGUCUUUUUGGAGUUAGUCUUUUUUCUUUUUUUGUUCUUUGAUCUUCUGGGUUUAAUUUAUAUCCAAAAUCUCUAUUUUAAACUUUA